rnacentral:tRNA from 1 species
ACCAGCAUAGUUUAAAUGGAAAAAUAACGGUCUCCAAAACCGUAGUUCUAGGUUCGAGUCUUAGUGUUGGUG